rnacentral:rRNA from 1 species
GGCCAGACUCCUACGGGAGGCAGCAGUGGGGAAUAUUGCACAAUGGGGGGUACCCUGAUGCAGCGACGCCGCGUGAGUGAAGAAGUAUCUCGGUACGUAAAGCUCUAUCAGCAGGGAAGAAAAUGACGGUACCUGACUAAGAAGCCCCGGCUAACUACGUGCCAGCAGCCGCGGUAAUACGUAGGGGGCAAGCGUUAUCCGGAUUUACUGGGUGUAAAGGGAGCGUAGACGGCACUGCAAGUCCGGAGUGAAAGCCCAAGGCGUAACCAUGGGACUGCUCUGGAAACUGUGGAGCUUGAGUGCGGGAGGGGCAGGCGGAAUUCCUAGUGUAGCGGUGAAAUGCGUAGAUAUUAGGAGGAACACCAGUGGCGAAGGCGGCCUGCUGGACGACAACUGACGGUGAGGCGCGAAAGCGUGGGGAGCAAACAGGAUUAGAUACCCCAGUACAA